rfam:Oryza glumipatula chromosome 4, whole genome shotgun sequence.
UAUAAGUGCAACCAUAAGUUUCCGCGUCCAAUUUUGAUCAUUUGUCUUAUUUGAAACUUUUUUAUAAUUAGUAUUUUCGUUGUUAUGAGGUGAUAAAACAUGAAUAGUACUUUACUCGUGACUUAUGUUUUUAAUUUUUUAAAAAAAAUUUAAAUAAGACGGAUGGUCAAAGUUGGACGCGGAAAAACCAUGGCUGCACUUAUA